rnacentral:lncRNA from 1 species
AAAUAAAUAUAAUAAUAGAACCCGUAGAACGUGGGUAGAAAAAGGAACAAUAAACAGAAACACUAAUGUUGUAUCUUGCUUUUAUUGCAUGAGAAAAGGCCAUACCUCAAACAAAUGCAGAAUUAAACAUUAUGGUGUUUCUAGUGGAAAAUAUGUUUGGGUUGCAAAACGAUUUUAAAUACCUAACCCAAAAGGACCCAUACAAAGGAGUUGGGUACCUAAAUAGCUUGUUCUUUCUAUUUUGCAGGAUUUAUCAAAUUCAA